AGUUUUCUACUGAGUCUCCGGAGCAAGUCCCAUUCAACCAAAACAGGCUGCCUUUCACAGCCCCACAAGAGUGGAGAAAUCUUAAGCCAUGUGACCAAGGUAUAUAUGUGCUGGCAAAGGAGUGUGUGCAUGAGGGCAGGUCCCACAGAUCUAGAGGAACACGCUGGAUUCAGAGUCCCUUGUGAGCAGCCACACCAGGGCUGCGUGAGAUGGAUUCUGACCACCUCGCUGUGGAUUGGCGCAGCUCAGGAAGCAGUGCAGCUUGACACAGAGCUUGGGAAGCACACCCCCAUUGAUGGUGCUUGCUUUGCAAACAUCCCUGAUUGCUGCGGCCUCUACAAUCCUCUGAAUGACGAACAACUUCAUGGCCUCGUCCUUGGGCACACACCGGUCAACAUCACUGCACAAGGUUUAUCCUAUUUUUCAUCACAUGAAAAAUAAGAUCUUGUUUUCUUAAGUAAUUGCAGAGUGACAGACACCAGAGUAAGGACUUAAUGAACCAGGCAGAAGGACCCUUCAUCUAAAGCAGCCAAAGAGUCGAAUGAUUAGAAGGGAGCAUAAGAGAACGUGGUUAGCUCAGUGCAAAGGGAUUACCAGGACACAUGUACUCAAAGGCAUUGUUAAAGACCAAGGACAACACAGAUGCCACCGUGAGGCAGUGUGAACAGGAUGCAAAGGCAAGCUGAUCUCUAU
rnacentral:lncRNA from 1 species